rnacentral:rRNA from 1 species
UACAGAGGUCUCAAGCGUUGUUCGGAUUCAUUGGGCGUAAAGGGUGUGUAGGUGGCGCGCUAAGUCGGGUGUGAAAUUUCGGAGCUUAACUCCGAAACUGCAUUCGAUACUGGCGUGCUUGAGGACUGGAGAGGAGACUGGAAUUCAUGGUGUAGCAGUGAAAAUGCGUAGAGAUCAUGAGGAAGACCAGUGGCGAAGGCGGGUCUCUGGACAGUUCCUGACACUGAGACACGAAGGCCCAGGGGGAGCAAAACGGGG